rnacentral:rRNA from 1 species
UACGUAGGGUGCAAGCGUUGUCCGGAAUUAUUGGGCGUAAAGAGCUCGUAGGCGGUCUGUUGCGUCGGCUGUGAAAACCCGAGGCUCAACCUCGGGCCUGCAGCCGAUACGGGCAGACUAGAGUUCGGCAGGGGAGACUGGAAUUCCUGGUGUAGCGGUGAAAUGCGCAGAUAUCAGGAGGAACACCGGUGGCGAAGGGGGGUCUCUGGGCAACAACUGACGCUGAGGAGCGAAAGCGUGGGGAGCGAACAGG